GGUUACCUGCGAGACGAAUCUAAGUUCCCCCUUGACCUCUUUCCCCCAAGACAAACCCAACUUAAAUGUGAUAGUCAAGGACUAUUUAAAGGGGGUACAGCCCCUUUAAAAAAGGACACAACCUCCUUCAGCGGAUAGCCCCCAUACGCCCAACCCCGUGGGCCUUAAAGCAGCCACCCCUAAAGAUUGCGUCAAAGCUCCACCAACUAAAAACCCCAAAAACCAACGCGACUCCCUAUAUUCAUAGCAGGCUAACCUAUAACAAUAGAUGAAUCAAUGCUAGAACGAGUAACCAGGACACCACGUCCCCCCAAGCGCCAGCCUACACACCAUUAACAGCAAAACCUCAAUAACAACCACCACCCCACCAUUGAAUAUACCCUGUCAAUCCAACUCAGGGGCGCACACUGGAGUGAUUAAAAUCUACAAAAGGAACUCGGCAAGCCCAAGACCCGACUGUUUACCAAAAACAUAGCCUUCAGCCAAACAAGUAUUGAAGGUGAUGCCUGCCCAGUGACACCAUGUUUAACGGCCGCGGUAUCCUAACCGUGCAAAGGUAGCGCAAUCAAUUGUCCCAUAAAUCGAGACCUGUAUGAAUGGCUAAACGAGGUCUUAACUGUCUCCUGUAGACAAUCGGUGAAACUGAUCUCUCCGUACAAAAGCAGAGAUAAACACAUAAGACGAGAAGACCCUGUGGAACUUCAAAAUCAAUAGCCACCCCACCCAACUUAUAAGCCCACCCAGGCCCACCACCCAAGACAC
rnacentral:rRNA from 1 species